rnacentral:rRNA from 1 species
UGGGGAAUUUUGGACAAUGGGCGCAAGCCUGAUCCAGCCAUGCCGCGUGAGUGAAGAAGGCCUUCGGGUUGUAAAGCUCUUUCGGUGGGGAAGAAAUUGCUUCGGCUAAUAUCCGGAGUAGAUGACGGUACCCGCAUAAGAAGCACCGGCUAACUACGUGCCAGCAGCCGCGGUAAUACGUAGGGUGCGAGCGUUAAUCGGAAUUACUGGGCGUAAAGCGUGCGCAGGCGGUUGUGUAAGUCAGAUGUGAAAUCCCCGGGCGCAACCUGGGAACUGCAUUUGAGACUGCACGGCUAGAGUGUGGCAGAGGGGGGUGGAAUUCCACGUGUAGCAGUGAAAUGCGUAGAGAUGUGGAGGAACACCGAUGGCGAAGGCAGCCCCCUGGGCCAAUACUGACGCUCAUGCACGAAAGCGUGGGGAGCAAACA